rfam:Pelodiscus sinensis unplaced genomic scaffold scaffold109, whole genome shotgun sequence.
ACUAAGGCUUCCUUAGAAGCCAUACAACUCUAUAACAAAUCAAGAGU